rnacentral:rRNA from 1 species
UGGGAAUAUUGCACAAUGGGGAAACCCGUGAUGCAGCGACGCCGCGUGAGUGAUGAAGUAUUUCGGUAUGUAAAGCUCUAUCAGCAGGGAAGAUAAUGACGGUACCUGACUAAGAAGCACCGGCUAAAUACGUGCCAGCAGCCGCGGUAAUACGUAUGGUGCAAGCGUUAUCCGGAUUUACUGGGUGUAAAGGGUGCGUAGGUGGUGAGACAAGUCUGAAGUGAAAAUCCGGGGCUUAACCCCGGAACUGCUUUGGAAACUGCCUGACUAGAGUACAGGAGAGGUAAGUGGAAUUCCUAGUGUAGCGGUGAAAUGCGUAGAUAUUAGGAGGAACACCAGUGGCGAAGGCGACUUACUGGACUGCUACUGACACUGAGGCACGAAAGCGUGGGGAGC